UACGUAGGGGCCAAGCGUUGUCCGGAUUUAUUGGGCGUAAAGAGCGUGUAGGCGGCCAGGUAGGUCGGUUGUGAAAACUGGAGGCUCAACCUUCAGAGGUCGACCGAAACCAUCUGGCUAGAGUCCGGGAGAGGAGAGUGGAAUUCCUGGUGUAGCGGUGAAAUGCGCAGAUAUCAGGAAGAACACCCGUGGCGAAAGCGGCUCUCUGGAACGGUACUGACGCUGAGACGCGAAAGCGUGGGGAGCGAACAGG
rnacentral:rRNA from 1 species